rnacentral:rRNA from 1 species
GAUGAACGCUGGCGGCGUGCCUAAUACAUGCAAGUCGAGCGAACGGACGAGGAGCUUGCUCCUCUGACGUUAGCGGCGGACGGGUGAGUAACACGUGGAUAACCUACCUAUAAGACUGGGAUAACUUCGGGAAACCGGAGCUAAUACCGGAUAAUAUAUUGAACCGCAUGGUUCAAUAGUGAAAGACGGUUUUGCUGUCGCUUAUAGAUGGAUCCGCGCCGCAUUAGCUAGUUGGUAAGGUAACGGCUUACCAAGGCGACGAUGCGUAGCCGACCUGAGAGGGUGAUCGGCCACACUGGAACUGAGACACGGUCCAGACUCCUACGGGAGGCAGCAGUAGGGAAUCUUCCGCAAUGGGCGAAAGCCUGACGGAGCAACGCCGCGUGAGUGAUGAAGGUCUUCGGAUCGUAAAACUCUGUUAUUAGGGAAGAACAAAUGUGUAAGUAACUAUGCACGUCUUGACGGUACCUAAUCAGAAAGCCACGGCUAACUACGUG